UCAAUCGGGUUGCAGCAAGUCUUUUUUCCGGCACCGCCAGGAGCCACUCCAUCCGGCGUCCGCCCCCACGCGCCGCCGCCUUAACUCCGAUCGCACUCGCCACCGCCGUGCGCCGCUCACAUGUGACCCCAUACAACCACCGCGGAAAUCCCCCAGAACAGCACCAUGUCCUCGGCACGAUCGUCAAGUUCACCUCCGGCUCCUCCGCUCUCCGUAAGCUCCGAUACGCCCCGUCGGUCCGAGUCUCCGACCGUCGGUGCGUGCUCACUCGCGGAGGCGGUUCGGAUUCGGAGUCUGAUUCGUCGGGCCGUCCGGGAGGAGAGGAGCUUGCGGUCGCGCGCGGUCUCGGGGAGGCGAAAUCGGCCGUCGAAGGAUGGACGGGGAGGCGCUUGAGGCAGAAUGUCUUGGCCUCGCAGGACUCCGGCGAUAGGGCGGUGAUCGUACAAAGGACUCAAACUUGCAUAUACAAUGAGUUGAAGGGAUUUUUCCGGUGGGCUUCGGAUCUACAGGCUAUCUUAUCAAAUCCUUGCGGGAACAAAAAUCCUUGUCACUAAGAACAGUUCCUUUUGUAGUAAUUGAUGGCAGUCAGUGGCCCGCAGUGGAUUAUGUCGUUGUGAACAUGGAUGGUUCAAGGCAUCAUCUACCUCUUACCACAUUAUGUCACCAAUUGCAGCUGAUGAAUUCUUCUCUCCUUACACGUUCCUUUAGGCACUUUUUGGUCAUGAAUACCCUGUUGGACUGCUUGAUAAGAGAAAAUUCUUCCAUUAGAAAGGUAUGUCGUUAGUAUUGUUGACCCUUGCUUUUUGAAAAUGAAUUCCGGAGAUCAAUUCAUUCCGAGAUUUUCCAUAUUUUCUAUAAGUUUUCCUCUCAUCUAUAUUUUAAUGGUGAUGGAUGGACAUUGGAUUAGUCUUGAUGCUUGCUUGAGGAGAUUCUUUUUCCUUUCGUGGACUUAUUGCCCAUGUACACUAUUUUCUUUUACUAUAAAUCGACACUUGUACAAAUUUAUUCUCUCUAAUCUCGAUCGUGGUUUAUAGCAAGAUGUGGAUAUGUAGUGAAUUGCCUGUUUGCAAGUCUGCGUUUUUUGCAUUUUGCACGACACGGAGAGUUUCCCAGUUGUGUGGUUUUAUGAAUUUUUGGGUGAUGCACAACCUCCUAUUGUUUUGGUAUUUUUCCCCUUACCUGUCAAAAGAUAUUGUGGCUCCUGUUCCUUUGAUGCUUGUCAUUUGUUUAUGUGAUGAUCUAUAAACAUCACAUGACUCAAGUCGUUGAGAAUUGACCAUCUCAUACUUCCUCUUGGGCAGGCAACCCUUUUUUGACAGUACUCGUCUACUAUUGAAUUGACUGAUUUGACAUUUUCCAGCACCGAGAUGACAAAAGAUCAAAUGGUCAUUGAUCUUGCCUUUUGCACAAAGAUACUCUUCUGGAGUAGUAUUCUUCUUGGAAAGAUAUCAAUUGGUAUCCUUGGAUUUGCUUUUGUAAGAUCAAUAGCUAUCAACCAGUAAACUUGUAACCAUAUUCUGUAUCCUGUUGAAUUCAAGACAUUAUAAUUUUUUACCUUACCGGGCAUGCUGAAUCUACUUUCCUCAUAAAAUGGAACAGAUGGAAAAAGUGGAGGCAGCAUAGACGGGACGAGCAGGAGCAGCAGCAGCAGCAGCAGCAGCAGAGCCAUGCUGCAGUCGUCGAGCCCAACACUCUUGCAGAGGAUGAAUCGAGAGAUGUACCAGAUGGACAAUUAUGUGUAAUUUGUCUAAUGAGGAGGAGGAGGUCCAUUUUUUUUUUCCAUGUGGUCUUCUUGUGUGUUGUCAGCGAUUUGUGCUAUCAGUAGAAUGGGAGGUUUCACCAAAAUGCUCUGUUUGUAGGUAGCCAAUCUCUAAUUCAGUCCAGAUUUUUUAAUAUAGUAGUGAUUUUGCUUCUGUUAGUUCAAGGGUGGGUAGUCAAAAUUGCUAGCCUUUCUUCUUUAAUAUAUCCUGGGAAAAGAGCAUGCCCAUCCUUUAAUGGAGAGUCCACAAUGGAUUGGUGAUCAUUUCUUGUCAGUAGCGACGCUUAGUGGGUCUUUCCUACUGUUGAAACCGUGUUGUUUAAUAAAUUGAGCCUGACCUCAUCUUUUCUUUGAA